UGGGGAAUAUUGCACAAUGGGCGCAAGCCUGAUGCAGCGACGCCGCGUGAGGGAUGACGGCCUUCGGGUUGUAAACCUCUUUCAGUAGGGAAGAAGCGAAAGUGACGGUACCUGCAGAAGAAGCGCCGGCUAACUACGUACCAGCAGCCGCGGCAAUACGUAGGGCGCAAGCGUUAUCCGGAAUUAUUGGGCGUAAAGAGCUCGUAGGCGGUUUGUCGCGUCUGUCGUGAAAGUCCGGGGCCCAACUCC
rnacentral:rRNA from 1 species